rnacentral:rRNA from 1 species
GACGAACGCUGGCGGCGUGCCUAAUACAUGCAAGUAGAACGCACAGUUUAUACCGUAGCUUGCUACACCAUAGACUGUGAGUUGCGAACGGGUGAGUAACGCGUAGGUAACCUGCCUGGUAGCGGGGGAUAACUAUUGGAAACGAUAGCUAAUACCGCAUAAUAUUGAUUAUUGCAUGAUAAUUGAUUGAAAGAUGCUAUUGCAUCACUACCAGAUGGACCUGCGUUGUAUUAGCUAGUAGGUGAGGUAACGGCUCACCUAGGCGACGAUACAUAGCCGACCUGAGAGGGUGAUCGGCCACACUGGGACUGAGACACGGCCCAGACUCCUACGGGAGGCAGCAGUAGGGAAUCUUCGGCAAUGGACGAAAGUCUGACCGAGCAACGCCGCGUGAGUGAAGAAGGGUUUCGGAUCGUAAAGCUCUGUUGUAAGAGAAGAACGGGUGUGAGAGUGGAAAGUUCACACUGUGACGGUAGCUUACCAGAAAGAGACGGCUAACUACGUG